AGCGAACGCUGGCGGCAGGCUUAACACAUGCAAGUCGAACGGGCGUAGCAAUACGUCAGUGGCAGACGGGUGAGUAACGCGUGGGAACGUACCUUUUGGUUCGGAACAACCCAGGGAAACGUUGGGCUAAUACCGGAUAAGCCCUUACGGGGAAAGAUUUAUCGCCGAAAGAUCGGCCCGCGUCUGAUUAGCUAGUUGGUGUGGUAACGGCGCACCAAGGCGACGAUCAGUAGCUGGUCUGAGAGGAUGAUCAGCCACAUUGGGACUGAGACACGGCCCAAACUCCUACGGGAGGCAGCAGUGGGGAAUAUUGGACAAUGGGCGCAAGCCUGAUCCAGCCAUGCCGCGUGAGUGAUGAAGGCCCUA
rnacentral:rRNA from 1 species